CUCUGAUGUGGUCGUAAUGCCACUGUUUGGAUCAGUGGUGGGCAUGCCGCUUCAUUCAUGGCCAUGGGUGUGGCUCCCUUCUCAUUAACUUGUCUUAGUGAUGUGUUUUGACAAUCUGUAGACUAAAGACUCUUUAUCAACUUAGGUCCUGGGUGUAGUCACAGAAAGUAGUCUUUGAUUGUAGGUGGUCUUCUGUAUCCCGUUUAUGUUUUGUUUGCACUACUGAACAGGAGGGGUUAGCUGAUAUUUUUCCGGUUUUUCAUCCUUUUCUGUGAAGUCCCUGCACAAUAGUGAACACAGGAUUUCCCUCCAGAGUUACCAGUACAAAAAGUGUAUCAGUGCUGGUCCACAAAGGGUGGAUAAUAACGGUGUCUUCUAUGGGAUUUUGUCCUGCAAGUCAUGUAAGCCUUCUGUCUGCAGGCAGGAGGAUCAGAGGAGCUCUGAGUCACAGUCAUGCUAGCACACGUCAUGAUGGGGAGAGACUAAUGUGUUUGGGACCAAAACCACCCAAGUUGGAAAUUUCUGGAUCACAAAGGAGCCUGGCAUACCCUGAAGCCGUCACUGGUUGGUGCUGUCUGGCGGCCGUGCUGCACCAGCCCUCAGUAGUUACAAAGUGGGCUCUGAGAGUAUGCUGCGGGUUCUGAGCUGGUGGGGACUAUGGCCAUGGUCAGGUGAAAGAUACAAUCUGGGGCUUUCUGCAGAAAUUCCAUCUGAGGAUUUUUACAUGUAAUAUUUUUUUAAAAGUCUAAAGAGCAAAAAAAUGUAUAGUUGCAAAGUAUGCAAACGCUUUGGAUGACUUUAUUUUUAUUAUGUAAACUGUUGAACACGACUGUGGUGUACAAACUCUUUACAUGUAAGGAGUCCAUGCACUUUACAGUAACCUUUGUGAUUCGGUAAUGAGACAGUUAUACAUCCAACUGCCAUUAUUUUUUAUUAAGUGCUUUCUUUUUCUUUACAAUUAUUACAAAGUUGUAUUUAUUUUCUACAGAUGGAUUUUUGUUUUCAUGAUGCUGUAAUGUUUACUUCAGCUUGUUGAGCUUUCUUUGUGAUCUGCAUGUCACUAUGUGUGUUUUAAGAAUGACUGUAAAGGCUGUGGUAACUGUCAUUCACUUUUGUAAAGGGCUGGUCACACGUGGAUCUGGUUUCUGAAUGCAUUGGAUGAUUUUGCCAGAUCACCUUUUCAGAAAUUUAAAUAUUGUGAAUACCAAAAGAAGCAUUUUCUCAGCAAAAAUUAAUAGCUGGUUCUAUUUUUUUUUUAAUGUAGAGAAAAUAAAGUUGAAUUUUUUUCCCCAAAACAAUGCUUUUAAUUCUUAAUAGUAGGGUGGGUGUCUGUGCUGUCCUGGAGUUGCUCAGCGCCUGCUGCUGCGGCUUAUGCCUGGAGCUCAGCAUCCAAUGGCCUGGCCUGUGAGAAAACCAUCCGGCUCCUCCCAGGACUUAAAAGAUUUGCCUUCCUCCAGUCUUACCAUGUGGUGUGUUCUGGCAAAUGUUGAGCAGUCCUCUCUCUUGGAAAGAAUUAUGUAUGUUUUAAAGUGUGGGGAAAAGUUCCGAAAUCAACAUGACCAAGUAGCUUCUGAUUGUGAGGAGUCUGGGGACAGCAAGGUUUUCAGGAAGCACAGCGGCGGCCAGCUCUCCUUGUUUCUCAGAGCUGAGUAAAUGUGGUAUGCCUAUCCCCACCAAAAAAAAAAACCAAAAAAAAAAAACCGGUUUGUUUGUUUUUUAACAUUAAGAACAUUGAUGGUUUAGUGUCUUGUUUGUAAAAUACCUUUGACCCCAAUGAAAACUUUUAAUGUAUGAAAAUGUCUCGCACAAUCCUACCAAAUAAGUUAAAUCGUAUGGUUCAGUCUACCUCUUCUUUUCCUGGAUUUAGGCUGCUGGUUGGGUGGGGCAGCAGUUUUAUUUCCCCUCUGAAGUACUUUAUGUGGAAGACAACAGACUGGGGGACUGAGGCCUGAAAGCAGAUUAGAGGCUCUUUGAGAUCUGUUGCUGACCAGCCCUGUUCCCCAUGAGUUGGGGAAAAGCCAUUGUUUUUAAUUCCCACUUAAUAUGAAAAUGUUUGUUUUAAAAAUUGUUUCUUGCUGGUGAAAAAUGUAUUUUUAAAAGGAAAAACCAAAUCCUCUUUUGGUCUGAGGAGUCAGCUGUAUGAGCAGGUGUGACCGUAUCAUAACAUGCUGAUGUCAUAGAAAUCAAUAAAUUUUUACCUCUCAG
rnacentral:lncRNA from 1 species